rnacentral:rRNA from 1 species
UACAGAGGGGGCAAGCGUUAUUCGGAAUUAUUGGGCGUAAAGAGCGUGUAGGCGGCCAGAUAAGUCCGCUGUGAAAUCUCGAGGCUCAACUUCGAGCUGUCGGUGGAAACUAUCUGGCUAGAGUCCGGAAGAGUAGAAUGGAAUUCCUGGUGUAGCGGUGAAAUGCGCAGAUAUCAGGAAGAACACCCGUGGCGAAGGCGGUUCUCUGGGACGGUACUGACGCUGAGACGCGAAAGCGUGGGGAGCGAACAGG